GCUUAGUACGGCGAGUGAAGCGGCAAAAGCUCAAAUUUGAAAUCUGGUACCUUCGGUGCCCGAGUUGUAAUUUGGAGAGGGCAACUUUGGGGCCGUUCCUUGUCUAUGUUCCUUGGAACAGGACGUCAUAGAGGGUGAGAAUCCCGUGUGGCGAGGAGUGCGGUUCUUUGUAAAGUGCCUUCGAAGAGUCGAGUUGUUUGGGAAUGCAGCUCUAAGUGGGUGGUAAAUUCCAUCUAAAGCUAAAUAUUGGCGAGAGACCGAUAGCGAACAAGUACAGUGAUGGAAAGAUGAAAAGAACUUUGAAAAGAGAGUGAAAAAGUACGUGAAAUUGUUGAAAGGGAAGGGCAUUUGAUCAGACAUGGUGUUUUGUGCCCUCUGCUCCUUGUGGGUAGGGGAAUCUCGCAUUUCACUGGGCCAGCAUCAGUUUUGGUGGCAGGAUAAAUCCAUAGGAAUGUAGCUUGCCUCGGUAAGUAUUAUAGCCUGUGGGAAUACUGCCAGCUGGGACUGAGGACUGCGACGUAAGUCAAGGAUGCUGGCAUAAUGGUUAUAUGCCGCCCGUCUUAACCCCGGAACCAA
rnacentral:rRNA from 1 species